rnacentral:rRNA from 1 species
GCCUGCCCUAUGAUAUGAUUAAAUGGCUGCGGUAUUUUGACCGUGCAAAGGUAGCAUAAUCAUUAGUUUUUUAAUUGAGAACUGGUAUGAAAGGUUGAACGAAAAAAAGACUGUCUCAAUUUAAUUUAAAUUAGAAUUUUAUUUUUAAGUUAAAAAGCUUAAAUAAUUUUAAAAGACGAGAAGACCCUAUAGAGUUUUAUAUUUUAAUUUUUAUAUUAAAUAAUUAAAGAAUUUAUUUUUAUAUAAUUAUUAAAGUAUUUAAUUGGGGCGAUUAAAAAAUUUAAUAAACUUUUUUUAAAUUUUAACAUUGAUAUAUGAUUAAUUGAUCCAUAUUUUAUGAUUAUAAGAUUA